AUAAGCCCGCACGCCUCUCUUCUCCGUGCCCCAAAACAGACCUGCAGCGAUCCCUAUUCUCGUGCCCCAAAACAAACCCUCUCUUCCCCGUGCGCCUCUCCUCUCUUCCCAGUGCCCCAAAACACCGCCCCUUAUCCUCGCGACGCAUGCUGCCCCCUCCUCUCACGGACCGCCGUUCGCCGCCACCACCGUCGUUUGCCAACUCCACCGCCUCUCACCGUCGCAACGCAUGCUGUGGUCGUUCGCCUCCUCUCACGAACCGCUGUUCGCCACCAUUGCCGUUCGCAGCCUCUCAGGACCAUCGUUCGCCUCCUCUUAUGACCUCCAUUCGUCUGCGUUCGUCACCGACCUUCGUGAUCUGUUCGGACUUUCCAUCUACCGGCCAUCGCCAUUUUUUCGAGGUCUUAUCUUCUCCCAUUGGCACUUCCGUCUUCCCUUAGUCGAGACAGAGCCUUCAUUUUCUUCCUCCAUCACCGUCAUCAUCGCCGGUCUUUCCAUCUUCGCUCAUGGUCUUACCAUUUUCGCUCAUGGCCAGUCUUCCUCCAUCUUUAUCUUCUGUGGCUCUUCUCAUGAGAAGGCAAGAUCUCCUUCCCUUUUCCUUCAAGCACCAAAGCCUCCUCCGACGAUUCCUUCCUCCAACGGCCACCGAACCUCUCUCUCUCUUCUUCUCCUUCUCUCUCGAUCUCCCUCUCUUUCUUUCUCCCCUCUCUCUCCCUCCCUCCCUCUCCUCCCCACUCUUCCCCCAUCGUCUCCCUUCCCUCUUGUAGACGGCCGACUCCGAGUCCUUUUUUCUCUUCUUUGGCUGAUGGCAAGGGUAUCCCGGCUCUUUCUCUUGCUCCCCCAUCUCCGAUCGGGAGUCGGCCAUACUCGAGACCCCUCCCUGUUGUGCCCUUGUUUUGCUCCCUUGCUACCGGUGUUCUGUGGGGAGUUAAUUACCCGAUCGGGGCCUUCUUUCUCCUCUUCCUGCUGCUCUCCCAUCUCUGGCUGGGAGCCAGCCAUACUCGAGACCCCCUCUAGCAUCCUAUGGGGAGUCACCGUUCUUCCUUGACGAAGUUCGAUCUUCGAAAACAGGUGGCCCCAUUCUCACCUACGGUAGGCACCCGUUCCUUCUCCGGUCGGAUUUGAUCCUCCCCUUUCUCUUUUCUUGUGGGGGGUUGUCGAUCUUUAGAACCUAGUUGGCCCCUUCCCACCUCUGGUCUCCGGUCAGUCGUGGGUCAUUCGCCAGAAUUGCAUCGGACUCCCUACUCUCCCUCCCCUCCUCCGAUUGUCUGUUUGCCGGAAUUUCAUGGGGAACCCGUGCCAGGCCCUCCUCUCCCUCCCCUCCUUCAGUUGUGAUUUCAUGUCUAUAAUCUGUUUGUGAUUUUAUUUUUGGAAUAAGAAAUCUAUUUUUGGAUUUUUUUUUGUUUGAUUUUUCUUUAUUGUCUUAAAUCAUGAGUCUCAAGUGAUUUCACGCUGACAAUUCAUUUGUAGUUUUGUUUUUAUAAUGAGAAAUCUAUUAUUUGGAGAUCGAGGAUUUAGAUAUUUUUCUUACCUGUCCUUCAAUGCAUGUUUCUUUGCUUUUUCAAAAUAUUAGAUGGGAUUGAAAAGAAUUGGGGAUGAAGGGUUUGCUAACUUUUUGAUCCUCAGAUUCUCCUAUCCUCUGUCUUCUUCGAACUCCAUGAAUGUUGGUAGCAAGCAUUUCUCGUUCAUUAUAUGGUAGCCCCACUUGCUCUAGUUUUGUAGCAUGCCAGGAUUUAAAUUUUAAUACCUAUCUUCAGAUUUUUGUUUUAAGAUUUGUAUGAAGAGGCUGUGACGACUUUGGAUUAAAUUUUGCUGAUUCAAUUAUUUCAAAUGGCAGCAAUCUUGGACGGUUUGCUUCUAUAGGCAAUUGAUUGCAGUCAUUUUGAUUUAGCUGCAGAUUAAAUAAUGAAUCUGAGCCUCCUCUUCGUCUUCCCUUCUUUGUUGUUCUAAUUAUUUAGUAAUUGUGUAUGCUGAUUUUUUAAUUUUGGAUUAAAUGUUUCACUUGAAGUUGUCAUCCAGACUCUUCUUGAUAUUGAUUCAAAAAGUUUCACUCAUUUAAUCACAGUUUUGGAGAGAUAUGGUUAAGUCAUAGCUAAGUUAUAUCCUCAUCAUGAUAAGCAAGUUCUGCUAAUAGACGAAGUCAGUUCCUACUGGAAGAACAAUACUCAGAUGACUGCUAUUGCUAUUGACAGAAUGAUGAGUUACCGACUCAUAUCCAAUUUGUCAAUUGUGAGAUGAAUUUUUUCUCUUUCUAAUGUCAACCAAUUCCAUAUUUCAGAUCAUCCACGGGAGGUAUGCUUUGCAUCUUAGUACUUUUAUAAUCUGUUACGGUUUAUUGGUAAGGUUUAUGAUGUUAUUGCAUUUUGUCAUAGAACUUGGCCAGCACUAUGCUGUUCUUAGUACUACUGCAAAUUUGAUAAGAUGGAUUUAUCAUUUUCUUUUCAGAUUGACAUGGUGAACCUUAGUUUAAAAUAGUAAAUCUAAAUCUGCAUAAUCACAUCACAAUAUUUACAUAGCUUAGUUAAGAAAGAUACAAGUGCACAUUCUUUUUUCAAGGGAGCUAUUGAAUACAUUUUUUUAACUUGUUUGAGCUUUGGUGCAGCGCAUAUCGGCAGAUUUUUUUUUGAGAUGUUUAAUGGAUAUCUAAAUCGAGGUAAGCCAAUUGCAAACAUGACAUUUAGGAUCUAUGGUAUGCUUAGCAUAGAUACAAGUGUGGGGGCAAUGUCUUCUUUCAAGCAAGUUCAUUACAUGAAGAUUCCUCUAAAACAAAUGUUCCUCAUUCAGGUAAAUUGCACUAACCCAUGGCCCUUCAUAAUAAUCCUACUCAAAGGAAGGAACACCACAAAUUGAGAAAAAGUGAUGAAGAAAUGCAUUCUCCUAAGAUGUUGGACCAAUUUGUUAUGAUCAAUACCUGUGCAUGUCUAAUGAUUAUCUGUACCAAAUUAUAGUACAUUUGAGUGUUUUGGAAUAGAUGAUAUGUUCUUAUGAAUAGCCUCUAUUUACAUGAAGUAGAUUAUUAGCAUAGCAUUGUCAACAGUGGCUAACUUCGUUAUAGGAUGGUGGAUGUUUAGUUUGGAUUAUGGUGGUUGGUGUGGUUUGGAUUACGAUGGUUAUUUUGGUUUGAUAAUAUCUUUUAUGGUGGCUGAUUUUAAAACUUAAAUUAUGGUUAGUUUGACAAAUUCUUGAUUAAUGGAUAUAGAUAGUUUGCUGCUUCUUGAUUGAUUGUAGUGUCGUUUAGAUAUUUUUUUUUACAUAUUUUCUUAUCAAUGCCUCCAUCUAUCUCCUUUUAUUGUUUAUUUUCAGGCAUGGGAGAAUAAUUAUAAAAAAAACCAAAGAUUGUACAUUCUUUCAUUACUUUGAAUAUAAAAGUCGAAGGUCUAAUGUUAGUAUCUAUUCUCGAGUCUUUUAAAUAGAAGAUUUCAUUUAAUAUUUGAUUACUCAAGUUUGAUAUGAUAUACUUCAUUGAUGAUUAUAUAUAGUCAAUAAAUCUGUUUAUCUUUGCAUUAACUUAUUUUUUUUUACUAUUUCAUUUAGGUCAUACUUUUUACAUGAAGAAAAUAUCAAAAUGAUCGGAAUGCUGGACAAUUGAGAAAGUUUCAAGUUUGAACAAUGAGAGAUCCUUGUUUUUUUCUUUGUUGGGAGUUGGACCUUGUCUAGAAGGGAAGAGUUCCUCUUUUAUGUCUAAGAAGAGACUCCAAAAGGAGUUGAAGCAGUCGCAAAAGCAUAAUCAAGAGAUGAAGAAUGAGAUUGUAGAUAUUAAGAUGCAGAUAAAGCGUCAACAAAAGAUUUUGGAAGCUUUAUGUGUAUCACAGAAUAUCUCUUUAUCAGAUUUAUGACGGAUCCCAUGAUUCAAGAACUUGUGAAGAUGUGGUUUUGAGGACAUACAUGGCAGAGCAAUCUUUUGCACUUUAGAUUGUCGACUUAUGAACUCAUUUGUUUUGUGAUAGAUAGUUGGAUAAUGAGUUUGUUUGCUUUUGGUUAGAGGUGAAUUAUUUGCUUUUGGUAGACACAUGGUCUCUUGGUGCUUUUAGUUGAAAAUACCAUCUUUUUGGAUGUCUGGACAAUUUACUUUUUAGAUUAUAAACUUUGUGUAUGGAUUCAUCUUGAUUAUGAAUUGCAUGUGAGUUUAUACUUUAGUUGUUGAAUGAUUUGUUAACUGAAAAUGGAUGAUCAAUUGCAUGUGAGUUUAUACUUUAGUUGUUGAAUGAUUUGUUAAUUGAAAAUAGAUGAUUUACUUGGUAUUUGAAUAUAUACCAUAAAAUAUGAUAUUUUAUACAUGUUAUAAUUGAACUAUCAAUGAAGCAAAAUUUUGCCAUCGCAAAACACUCUUGUUGCAAAACAUCCUUGUUUUGCAACGUUAGCGAAAUCGUUCCACGACAUUUGAGAAACAUCGCCAAAGAUCCUUGUUCAUUUCACAAUGUUGGCAAAAUAUCGCACAAUCAAUCGUGUUUCGCAAUGUUUGUCAGACGUCAUGAAAGACAUUUGUUCCACGACGUUAAUGAAAUGUUGCUUAAUCAACCUAUAUUUUGUGACAUUUGAGAAAUGUCAUGAAAGAUUUUUGUUCCACGACGUUGGUGAAAUAUCGCUUAAUCAAACUACGUUUCGUAACGUUUAGGCAUAUGUCGUAUUUUUGACGUCCUUUCCGUGAUGUUUUAUGACAAACGUCGUGAUUGAUCAUUAGCAACGUGGCUAGCGUAGACGAUCUUGAUGACGUUGUACCCAACAUCGUAAAAAGACUUUAGUGACAUUUUGGAGAACUUUUGACAAUAUUUUUAAACAUCGUGGAAAAUCUUUUUUCUUAUAGUGAACUUGUAACAGCUCCUUUUAAUAGGGCUGAUCUGCCGUCCAAUGAAGUUGAAGCUGAUUUUAUAUUUAAUCUUGAUGAGUCAGAGGAUGACAAUCCAUUCAUAAAUAAUGAUGAGAUAGAAAACGAUACAUUAGUUGAUUAUUGUGAUUUCGGAGAAGGGCCUGCACAUCGAGGAAGAUACGAAUAUUGAUGAGUAGAUCUAUAUUCUUUAUUGAAUCUUCUCUUGUAAUAAUGAUAUACAAUAUAAUUCUAUUUAUUAUAAUAUAAUUUAUUUUUUACUAUUAUUAUUCAAUAUUAUAUUCAUUUAUAUGUCAAGAAUUACAGGUAUGGCACCAUGAGACAAACGACGAUGUUCAUGUUCGCAUCCUACCCCUGAGGUUGAGGCACCUUCAUCCAUUUCCACUGUCGCACCAUCAGAGUCGCCAGAGGGUCCUGAACUGGCAGGUCAUAGUGAGACAGGUCCGAGUGAGGCCAGUCUCCACCGAUGGUGAGACGAGGGUGAGGUCUAUCGAAGAACCUUACUUUAGAGCAUUGGAGAUGCGAGCACCCAAGACAGCAUCUUCAUAUUGAGAUACCAUCCCACUAUACCAGGCCCAUUAGGGGAUGGUGCGAGCCGUGGCAGACUGAGCUGGGCAUCAUAUGCCGCAGCUAUGCUCCCAUGAUACUUUUCGAUUGGUGUUACAUUGAUGUAUUUGAUAUUAUUGAUUUUGAGGAGGAUUGUGUGCGGACCAUGGGGUGAAGACGGCAUGGCAGCGCCCUAUGACAGUAUCAUUAUGGAUGAUUGGGCUCUCGUAUGCCAGCAUUACAAGGAUCCGACGUAUCAGAGACGAUGUGCCCAGAACAUCAUGAAUCGGACAAGAGAGAUCAUGUCACAUUGUAGGGGUUCGAGGUCGUUCACUCGUCAUAUGAAGCAGAUGAGAGAUGUAGAAAGUGGUGAGCUUUCUGGUAGGAUCAAUAUUUACCAGUAGACCCACCAGUGACGGUCAGGGGAGUGGAUGACGGGGAGCCAGGAGCUUUUUAAUCGUAUGAUAGGCAUUAGAUCUCAGCCUAUCCCUGAGAGCUCGACCGCACCCACAGAUGAAGAGAUAUGUGAUCAGAUGUUUGGUACGAGAUCCUAUUAUAUUAGGGGUUUAGGAUAUGGGAUCAAUGCUCUCUCAUCCUCACGCUCAUCUAAGGCUGACAUCUAUGCUACUUGCGAUGCUUGGCUGGUGGAGGUGUAGAGGCAGGCUACUAAGGAUUGACAGUGGGCUGAGCAGCGAGCUGAUAAGUUGGUUGCACGCAUCGAUGAGUAGCAGUUGCUUCAAACCCAGAUAAUAGAGCAGAUAGUGCAGAUGGAGUAGAUGAUGUAGCUGAUGAGAUAGCAACAAGCCAGUCUGAGCUCUUCCGAGUGCUCUCCUUCCCCAGUCUGUUCUCCUUCUGUAGAUGUCGAUACUUGAUGACUUGUUUAUGUAGCUUUUUAUUUUAUUUCAAAUUUCUUGUAAUUUUAAUUUAAUAUAAUAAAUAAUAAA